rnacentral:rRNA from 1 species
GAUGAACGCUAGCGGCAGGCUUAACACAUGCAAGUCGAGGGGUAACAGAGGAAAGCUUGCUUUUUUGCUGACGACCGGCGCACGGGUGCGUAACGCGUAUACAAUCUGCCUCUUACUGAGGGAUAGCCCAGAGAAAUUUGGAUUAACACCUCAUAGUAUGUUGAUUUGGCAUCAGAUUAACAUUAAAGGUUACGGUAAGAGAUGAGUAUGCGUUCUAUUAGCUAGUAGGUAUGGUAACGGCAUACCUAGGCAACGAUAGAUAGGGGCCCUGAGAGGGGGAUCCCCCACACUGGUACUGAGACACGGACCAGACUCCUACGGGAGGCAGCAGUGAGGAAUAUUGGUCAAUGGAGGCAACUCUGAACCAGCCAUGCCGCGUGCAGGAAGACUGCCCUAUGGGUUGUAAACUGCUUUUAUACAGGAAGAAACACCUCUACGUGUAGAGGCUUGACGGUACUGUAAGAAUAAGGAUCGGCUAACUCCGUG